rnacentral:rRNA from 1 species
UACGGAGGAGGCAAGCGUUAUCCGGAAUUAUUGGGCGUAAAGCGUCCGCAGGUGGCACCUCAAGUCUGCUGUCAAAGACCGGGGCUUAACCCCAGAAAGGCAGUGGAAACUGAAGUGCUAGAGUGCAGUAGGGGUAGAGGGAAUUCCCGGUGUAGCGGUGAAAUGCGUAGAGAUCGGGAAGAACAUCGGUGGCGAAAGCGCUCUGCUGGACUGCAACUGACACUCAGGGACGAAAGCUAGGGGAGCGAACGGG